AUAUCAAUAAGCGGAGGAAAAGAAACUAACAAGGAUUCCCCUAGUAACUGCGAGUGAAGCGGGAAAAGCUCAAAUUUAAAAUCUGGCAGUCUUUGGCUGUCCGAGUUGUAAUCUAGAGAAGUGCUAUCCGCGCUGGACCGUGUACAAGUCUCCUGGAAUGGAGCGUCAUAGAGGGUGAGAAUCCCGUCUUUGACACGGACUGCCAGGGCUUUGUGAUGUGCUCUCAAAGAGUCGAGUUGUUUGGGAAUGCAGCUCAAAAUGGGUGGUAAAUUCCAUCUAAAGCUAAAUAUUGGCGAGAGACCGAUAGCGAACAAGUACCGUGAGGGAAAGAUGAAAAGAACUUUGGAAAGAGAGUUAAACAGUACGUGAAAUUGCUGAAAGGGAAACGCUUGAAGUCAGUCGCGUUGUCCAGGGAUCAACCUUGCUUUUGCUUGGUGCACUUUCUGGUUGACGGGUCAGCAUCAAUUUUGACCAUUGGAAAAAGAUUAGGGGAAUGUGACAUCUUAGGAUGUGUUAUAGCCCUUGGUUGCAUACAAUGGUUGGGAUUGAGGAAUUCAGCACGCCGCAAGGCCGGGUUUUAACCACGUACGUGCUUAGGAUGCUGGCAUAAUGGCUUUAAUCGA
rnacentral:rRNA from 1 species